CACCAACUCCGCUGCAGCCGCAUCCCAGCUCUUGAAACCGGCGCUGAGGGACCUGCCCUUUAGCAGCGUGUAUUACCUCAGAUAUGAUAAUCAUCUUUGGGCGGAGACCAGAGAACUUCGAAAGCUGGUCUCUUACAGUGCCAGAGUCAGGGAGUUUUCAGAAAUCUACAGACUCACCAAAGAAGACUAGCCAUUUGGAACCCAAGAUCCUUAAGAAGACUACCAUCUUGUAGUUUAAUCUCUUUGAUUCAGGGGCUACAUGUGCAAGUUACCUGGGUAUACUGCAUGAUGCUGAGGUUUGGAGGUGCAAAUAAGCCCAUCACUCAGAAGAGUACUUACAAUUCAAAAGAACAUGUCCAGAUGCAGUGGCUCAUGCCUGUAAUCCCAGCAGUUUAGGAGGCGGUGGCAGGUGGAUCAUGAGGUCAGGAAUUCAAGACCAGCAUGGGCAACAUGGUGAAACCUUGUCUCUACUAAAAUACAAAAAACUAGUUGUGUGUGGUGGCAGACAUCUGUAAUCCCAGCUACUGGGUGACAGAGUGAGACUCUGUCUCCAAAAAAAAAAGAAGAACAUUUAAGUUCUUAGAAAUAAGCAUGGUUGGCUGGGCGUGUUGGCUCACACCUAUAAUCCUAGCACUCUGGGAGGCCAAGGUGGGUGGAUUGCCUGAGGUCAGGAGUUCAAGACCAGCCUAGCCAUCAUGGUGAAACCCCGUCUUUAAAAAAAAGAAAGAAAGAAAGAAAGAAAUGAGCGUAGUUGGGAAGACAAACAAGGCUGAGGGAACAUAGAUCCUGUUAAUGUUACUUAUAAACCUUUGGAGUUUUAAGAAAGAGUGUCUAAUUAAUAAUCCAUCUUUUAAUGUAGGGCUCAGAAAUGAAAGGUAAAAAUAGAACAUUUUAUAACAAAAUAUUCUGCACCACAUGAGGUGAAGGUGGUGUUUCGUGAAGUGGGAAUUCUUGUUCCUGCUUGGCAGGGUUGGAAACUGACAUUCAAGAAGGUUAGGAAUGUGCUAAAGGUUGCAUGAAUCCCUAAGUCAGUUGUCAAAUUCAGAUCUUGUUUUAUUUAUUUUUUUUUUUGAGAUGGAGUCUUGCUCUGUUGCCCAGGCUAGAGUGCAGAAGCACGACCUCAGCUCACUGCAACCUCCACUGGGUUCCAGCGAAUUCUCCAGCCUCAGCCUCUGGAGUAGCUGGGAUUAUAGGUGGAUGCCACCAUGCCCAGCUAAUUUUUUUUUGUAUUUUUAGUAGAGAUGGGGUUUCACCCCAUUUGCCAGGCUGGUCUUGAACUCCUGACCUCAGGUGAUUUGCCCUCCUCAGCCUCCCAAAGUGCUGGAAUUACAGAUGUAAGCCACUGAGCCUGGCCAGAUAUUGUUUUAGAUUUCGUGUUCUCUCUAUUGCAUAUAAACUGCUCCAUUCUAAAAAUCAGUCAAUCAAAAUAUUUUGGAACAAUAGUAAAAAUAACCACUAAUAAAAUUUGCAAAAGUUCUAAAUACAAUUUUACUUAGAAUAACGUAACACUGGACCGGGCAUGGUGGCUCAUGCCUGUAAUUCCAGCAGCUUGGGAGGCUGAGGCAGAUGGAUCAGCUGAGGCCAGGAGUUCUAGACUAUCCUGGCCAACAUGGUGAAACCCCAUCUCUACUGAAAAUACAAAAAAUUAGCCAGGCAUCGUGGUGUGUGCCUGUAAUCCGUUACUUGGGAGGCUGAGGCAGGAGAAUUGCUGGAACCCAGGAGGUGGAGGUCACAGUGAGCCAAGAUCUCCUGCACUCCAGCUUGGCUGACAAGAGGGAACUCUGUCUCUAAAUAAAUAAUUAAUUAAUUUAAAAAAUAAAAAUUUAAACUUUUAUUAAAAAGUUGAGUUUAGGUUGCUAACUGCCAGCUAAGUGGGCACUGUAUUCACAACACACACACCCAGGAUUGAUAAGGAUCUUCCUCAGCCGGAGAGCUCAAACAGAUGACAACAGAAGUGUUAAUCAUUUCCUUACUAAGCAAUCUUAGUCACAGGUUCCUGCUAAAAGUGAAAUCACUCCCUCGGGUUUAAACACAGUUGAAAAUGUUUAACUUAGUUGCAGUUUCUUCCUUCUAGGUUAAGCACGUGGAAAUUUGUUUGGCAAUUCUUUUUACAGCAUUAUUUCCAUUUGUUACUCCCACAAGCUGGAGUUUAUCUGACUGGGUGGUGCAUGGAAACUUCAGGACAAAAUUUAAUGGCCAAAGGCUGAGUGAAAUUUACCCUGACUGUAGUUAUGAAAAGGCUCUCCCCACAGUGUUGGAACUCCACUUUCCCUUGGCAUGCUGGAGAUGGACAAGUGGUGCUGGGUCUGUGCUGAAAGAAGCCUCAGGAAGUUCAUGGAAAUAAAUUCACAGUAAAUUUAAUCUAAGUUACUGAGUGGUUAAAAUGUACUGCCUGCCUAUUGAUGUUUUGAAGCCCCAUAGGGGUCUACUUUUUCAUUUAUUUGUAAAUGUUCACUUCCCUUCAGUGAAUUAGAAUUAUAGUUAGAAUAAUAAUUAGCGUUUCUGGACUUAACUUUGCACUAGGAACUGUGCUAACAGUGCUGCAUGCAUUGUUUAUCAUUCUCCAUUCUCGUACAAUAAGAGGUUGGUACUACCAUCAUCUUCAUUUAUAUGUACAGAAGAUGAUUUGGUCAUUCCUGUCUUGCACGGUACCUAAGUGGGAGACUCCAGUGUUGCAUCCGGGCAGUCUAACGCCGGAGCCUAUCCUCUUAACUACUAUUUAACACAACCAUUCUAACUAAAAAGUAUUAAUCAUCCUUCAGAAAUUUUAGAGACCAUUAUUAUGCCAGUAUUCUUUUCAUCACUAUCAACUAAGAAACCAUAUUCUAAUAUUUAAGAGCUUUUCUGCGUUUUAUAAAAUGUCUCAUUCUUGCCCACAGCAUAAACCCUGGGGAGGGGCUGGUGGGUGCAGAAGGAAGGAGACCCUCUCACCACCAGAGAGCUGAUUAAUUUACAAUUAGUAAAGGCUAAAAAGUCUCUUUCUGAAACUUUUGUUUCGAGCCCUAAAAUUAAAACAUGGUCACUGAAUUCUAUCUCUUUUUGGGGGAAGAAGAUUGAGACAAGCGUUCAUUUUCUGGGUCUCUCAUCUCCUCCAUGGCUAAACUGAGAAUUCCAUGUUGUGAAAUUUCUGCGUGGAACCUCUGCCAGGGCACAUGUAUCUACCUUUUGGACUGCUUCUCAAAGCUCAGUUUUUUACGUUUUCUAGUAUAUGUAAUUUAAAAAAAAAACUUUAAACAUAUAGAGAAUGUGAAAAUGUUAAAGAAUAAUACAAUGAACAGCCUUAGACCUAUCACUCAGAUUCAACGCCCAUGUACCUACUACAGAGAUGUUGACAUAUUUUGUCAUAUUUGAAUAUACCUGUACUGUAAGAAGAAUAAGAACAUUCUCUAUAUAAUCACAUAUGAUUAACACAUCUGAGAAAAGAAAUAAUAUUUUUCUUUUCUUUUCUUUUUUUGAGACGGAGUUUCGCUCUUGUUACCCAGGCUGGAGUGCAAUGGUGUGAUCUCGGCUCACCGCAACCUCUGCCUCCUGGGUUCAGGCAAUUCUCCUGCCUCAGCCUCCUGAGUAGCUGGGAUUACAGGCACGCGCCACCAUGCCCAGCUAAUUUUUUGUAUUUUUAAUAGAGACGGGGUUUCACCAUGUUGACCAGGAUGGUCUCGAUCUCUUGACCUCGUGAUCCACCUGCCUCGGCCUCCCAAAGUGCUGGUAUUACAGGUGUGAGCCACCGCCCAAGAAAUAAUAUUUUUCUCAUAUCCUAUAAUACUCAGUCUAAAUUUGAAUUUUUCCAUUUGUUCCAAAAUUGUCUUUUAUGGCUGAUUUUUUUUGCACCAGUAUUAAAACAAUAUAUAUGCAUAGCAUUUGGUUGUUGUAUUGC